rnacentral:rRNA from 1 species
GUGGGGAAUAUUGGACAAUGGGGGGAACCCUGAUCCAGCCAUGCCGCGUGUGUGAAGAAGGCCUUUUGGUUGUAAAGCACUUUAAGCGAGGAGGAGGCUACCGAGAUUAAUACUCUUGGAUAGUGGACGUUACUCGCAGAAUAAGCACCGGCUAACUCUGUGCCAGCAGCCGCGGUAAUACAGAGGGUGCAAGCGUUAAUCGGAUUUACUGGGCGUAAAGCGCGCGUAGGUGGCCAAUUAAGUCAAAUGUGAAAUCCCCGAGCUUAACUUGGGAAUUGCAUUCGAUACUGGUUGACUAGAGUAUGGGAGAGGAUGGUAGAAUGCCAGGUGUAGCGGUGAAAUGCGUAGAGAUCUGGAGGAAUACCGAUGGCGAAGGCAGCCAUCUGGCCUAAUACUGACACUGAGGUGCGAAAGCAUGGGGAGCAAACAGGAUUAGAAACCCUGGUAGUCC